AUGGCGCAAGAUAAUAACAAAUUGUGUGAUUUCUCGAAUACCAAUAAUAAUGAUUUCCUUAGUACUCCGAUUGCUCCUCUUAAUGAUGUUGAGUCUUGUGAAAUCAUUACUGCUUUGCUGAAUCUUGUUAUGAAAGAUCAAUUCGCCGGCCUUCCAAGUGAAGAUGCCGCUACUCAUCUAAACAACUUUGUUGAUUUGUGUGAUAUGCAAAAUAAGAAAUAUACGGAUAACAAUGUUGUCAAAUUGAAGUUAUUUCCGUUUUCACUUAGAGAUCGUGCUAAAGUUUGGGUUUCGUCUUUGCCUAAAAAUAGUAUUGAUUCUUGGGACAAGUGCAAAGAUGCUUUUAUCUCUAAGUAUUUUCCUCCCGCUAAGAUCAUCACUCUUAGGAAUGAUAUUAUGAAUUUUAAACAACUUGAUCAUGAGCAUGUUGCCCAAUCUUGGGAAAGAAUGAAAUUGAUGCUUCGCAAUUGCCCUACUCAUGGUUUGAAUUUAUGGAUGAUCAUACAAAAAUUUUAUGCCGGUUUGAACUUUGCUUCUAGAAAUCUCUUAGAUUCGGCCGCGGGAGGCACGUUUAUGGAAAUUACGUUGGGAGAUGCUACAAAACUUCUUGAUAAUAUUAUGGCUAAUUAUUCUCAAUGGCACACCGAAAGAUCUUCUAGUAAAAAAGUGCAUGCUAUAGAAGAAAUCAAUGUUUUGAGUGGAAAGAUGGAUGAGCUUAUGAAGAUGUUUGCUACUAAAAAUACUCCUCUUGAUCCCAAUGAUAUGCCUUUGUCUUCUUUGAUUGAGAAUAAUAAUGAAUCUAUGGAUGUGAAUUUUGUUGGUAGGAAUAGUUUUGGAAACAAUGCUUAUAGAGGAAACUUUAAUGCUAGACCGUUCCCUAGUAUUUCCUCUAAUAAUUAUGGAAAUUCCUACAAUAAUUCUUAUGGUAAUUUUAAUAAGAUGCCCUCUGAUUUUCAGAAUAGUGUGAAAGAAUUUAUGAUUUCUCAAAAGAAUUUUAAUGCUUUGCUUGAAGAAAAAUUGCUCAAAGUUGAUGAUUUGGCUAGGAACGUUGAUAGACUUUCGCUUGAUGUUGAUUCUCUUAAACUUAGAUCUUCUACUCCUAAGCAUGAUAUCAAUGAGUCUCUCAAAGUAAUGAGAAUUUCCAUUGAUGAGUGUAAAGAAAGAACCGCUAGAUUGCUUGCUAAAAGAGAUAGCUUUAUAAAAGCGUGUUCUUCUAGUUUCCGUGAAAAUAAUGAUGAGGAUCUUAAAGUUAUUGAUGAGUAUCCUAUUAGAUCUAUGUUUUGCAAUAUGAAUUUUGAUAAUCAUGGGACUGAUGAUGAAUCAACUUUGCCUAGAAGGCAUCCCAAGAAUUCGGAGUCUUUAGAUCUUAAUGCUAAAUUUGUUAAAAGUGAGAUUGGAGAAUCCUCAACUUCUAAUAAUAGUGAACCUACUAUCUCGGAUUUCAAGGAAUUUGAUUAUGAUAAUUGUUCUUUAAAAGGUUGUAUUUCCUUGUUGCAAUCUGUUGUUAAUUCUCCUCAUGCUUAUAGUCAAAAUAAAGCUUUUACCAAACAUAUCGUUGAUGCCUUGAUGCAAUCUUAUGAUGAAAAACUUAAUUUGGAAGUUUCUAUACCUAAAAAACUUAAUGAUGAGUGGGAACCUACUAUAAAGAUUAGAAUUAAAGAUUAUGUGUGUUUUGCUUUGUGUGAUUUGGGUGCUAGUGUUUCCACGAUUCCGAAAACUUUAUGUGAUAUUCUAGGUUUCCAUGAUCUUGAUGAUUGCUCUUUGAAUUUGCACCUUGCGGAUUCCACCAUUAAAAAGCCAAUGGGAAGGAUCAAUGAUGUUAUCAUUGUUGCAAAUAGAAAUUUGGUGCCCGUAGAUUUUAUCGUUCUUGAUAUAGAUUGCAAUCUUUCUUGCCCUAUUAUUCUUGGUAGACCUUUCCUUAGAACGAUUGGUGCGAUUAUUGAUAUGAAGGAAGGGAAUAUUAGAUUCCAAUUUCCAUUAAAGAAAGGCAUGGAGCACUUUCCAAGAAAGAAAGUCAAAUUACCUUAUGAAUCAAUCAUGCGGGCUACUUAUGAUUUAGUGCCAAAGAGGGCACUCGUUAGAUCUAUCUUUGCUUUUAUGCCUAGCUAG
rnacentral:rRNA from 1 species